UACGUAGGUGGCAAGCGUUGUCCGGAUUUACUGGGCGUAAAGAGCGCGCAGGCGGUCGGAUAAGUCGAAUGUGAAAGCCCCUGGCUCAACCAGGGAGGGUCAUUCGAUACUGUUCGACUCGAAGGCAGGAGAGGGAAGUGGAAUUCCGGGUGUAGUGGUGAAAUGCGUAGAUAUCGUAAGGAAGACCAGUGGCGAAGGCGGGUCUCUGGACAGUUCCUGACGCUGAGGCACGAAGGCCAGGGGAGCAAACGGG
rnacentral:rRNA from 1 species